UUAGAGUUUGAUCCUGGCUCAGGACGAACGCUGGCGGCGUGCCUAACACAUGCAAGUCGAGCGAAUGAAAUUCCUUCGGGAGCGGAUUUAGCGGCGGACGGGUGAGUAACACGUGGGCAACCUGCCUCAUAGAGGGGAAUAGCCUUCCGAAAGGGAGAUUAAUACCGCAUAAGAUUGUAGUACCGCAUGGUACAGCAAUUAAAGGAGCAAUCCGCUAUGAGAUGGGCCCGCGGCGCAUUAGCUAGUUGGUGAGGUAACGGCUCACCAAGGCGACGAUGCGUAGCCGACCUGAGAGGGUGAUCGGCCACAUUGGGACUGAGACACGGCCCACACUCCUACGGGAGGCAGCAGUGGGGAAUAUUGCACAAUGGGGGAAACCCUGAUGCAGCAACGCCGCGUGAGUGAUGACGGCCUUCGGGUUGUAAAGCUCUGUCUUCAGGGACGAUAAUGACGGUACCUGAGGAGGAAGCCACGGCUAACUACGUGCCAGCAGCCGCGGUAAUACGUAGGGUGCGAGCGUUGUCCGGAAUUAUUGGGCGUAAAGAGCUCGUAGGCGGUUUGUUGCGCCUGCUGUGAAAACCUGGGGCUUAACUUCGGGAUUGCAGUGCGUACGGCCAGACUAGAGUGGGGUAGGGGUAAUUGGAAUUCCUGGUGUAGCGGUGGAAUGCCCAUAUAUCAGGAGGAACCCCGAUGGCGGAGGCUGGUUACUGGGCCCCCCCUGACCCCUAAGGAACCAAAGGCGGGGGGAACGAAACAGGAAUAAAAUCCCCGUGGUACCCCCCC
rnacentral:rRNA from 1 species